rnacentral:rRNA from 1 species
CAAUAGCGUAUAUUAAAGCUGUUGCGGUUAAAAAGCUCGUAGUUGGAUUUCUGUCAAGGACAACUGGUCCGCCCCUCGGGUGAGCACAUAGUUUGGUCUUGACAUCUUGUUGGAAACUGUUGCUGCACUUGGUUGUGUGGCGCAGUGUCCAGCACUUUCACUUUGAGGAAAUUGGAGUGUUUCAAGCAGGCACAUGCCUUUGGACACAGUAGCAUGGAAUAAUUAGAUUGGGCUUUUGCUCCAACUUGUCGGUUUCUGGAGCUGAGGUGAGAAUUAAUGGGGAUUGUUGGGGGCAUCCGAAUUUAGCCGUCAGAGGUGAAAUUCUUGGAUCUGCUAAAGACGGACAACUGCGAAAGCGUUUGCCCAGGAUGUUUUCAUUGA